UUUGUUAGAAACAUUACGGUAGACGUUCCUGUGUCAGCUCAGCUCCCAUGAGUCUUUGCGUCUGCUCUUUGCUUGUGGUGCUAGCUGUUCAGUUAGCUAGCUAGCAAUUAUAGAUACAAGUUGUCAACGCGUUUCUUAUUCGGUAUCUAAAUCUAAACCUACCGCGACAAUGAAAGAUGUUACCGGGUACCUCAAAACGCAACAGAGCAUCAGUUCGACUCCGGAGAUGGCAUCGGAAUGGCACACACUAGAGGAGUUUUACAACAAAAAGUUGUGGCAUCAAUUGACCCUAAAGCUCACAGACUUUGUAAAAGACCCUUGCUUUGCCACAGGAGAUGGCCUCAUACAACUGUACGAUAACUUCCUCAGUGACUUUGACCACAGAAUCAACCCCCUGUCUCUGGUGGAGAUCAUCCUGUAUGUUGCCAGACAGAUGACAGAUCCUAAAGAUGCUAUCACUUUCCUUGAGAAGACUAAGGAGAAGGUGAAGAGCAACGACGAGUCGGUCAUUCUGUGCAAGACAUCUAUUGGAGCCCUUAAACUGGAGAUAAAUGACCUUCCAGCCACAAAGAUAUUAAUUGAGGAGGUGGAGGAGACGCUGAAUAACUUGCCGGGUGUGACGUCAGUCCACGGGCGAUUCUACGACCUGUCCAGCAAAUACUACCGCAUCGUGGGGAACCACGCCUCUUACUACAAGGACGCUCUGCGCUACCUCGGCUGUGUCGACAUCAAAGACCUGCCAGAGACAGAGAAGCAGGAGAGGGCUUUCACACUGGGUCUGGCUGGACUCUUAGGAGAAGGAGUUUACAACUUCGGAGAGCUGCUGAUGCACCCAGUACUGGAGUCCCUAAGGAGCACAGACAAGCAGUGGCUGAUAGACACAUUGUACUCCUUCAACGGAGGCAACGUGGAGAAGUUCCAGGCCUACAAGUCUGCCUGGGGAGCGCAGCCUGACCUGGCAGCCAACGAAGCCAAACUGAUGCAGAAGAUUCAGCUGCUGUGUGUGAUGGAGAUGACGUUCACUCGUCCCGCCAACAACAGACAGCUGACCUUCCAUGAGAUUGGACAGAGUGCCAAGAUCCCCGUGAACGAGGUGGAGCUGCUAGUGAUGAAAGCUCUGUCUGUGGGUCUGAUCAAAGGAAACAUUGACGAGGUGGACCAGAAGAUUCAGAUGACCUGGGUGCAGCCCCGAGUACUGGACCUGCAGCAGAUCAAGGGCAUGAAGGACCGGUUGGACCUCUGGUGUGGGGAUGUGAAAAACAUGGCUGUGUUGGUGGAACAGCAGGCCCACGAUAUCCUCACUUAGACAGGCCUCCCCCCCUUGGUUUAGCAUCACUUAGACAGGCCUCCUCCCCUUGGUUUAGCCUCACCUAGACAGGCCUCCUCCCCUUGGUUUAGCCUCACCUAGACAGGCCUCCUCCCCUUGGUUUAGCCUCACCUAGACAGGCCUCCUCCCUCUGGUCUACUCCAUGGCCCUGUCCAGAACAACCCCCUAACCUCUAGACACUUGUAGAGAUCAGAGAAGAUUUAUUUAAUAGGUUUAUGCAGUAUGAUGAUAGUACCUUGCCCUCUGAUAGUCUAGGUAGAGUUUUGGCCAUAUUGCUUACACCAGUCAGAUCCUCUCAGACAAGGGUCUAAGGUGUAGGUGCCAGGAUGUUCUUCUGGACAGGGCCCUUCUCCCAGCCUGUUCACCCCUAGAACAGACCCCCAUCACAGGAAUCCUCUCAGACAAGGGUCUAAGGUGUAGGUGCCAGGAUGUUCUUCUGGACAGGGCCCUUCUCCCAGCCUGUUCACCCCUAGAACAGACCCCCAUCACGGGAAUCCUCUCAGACAAGGGUCUAAGCCAGGUGUAGGUGCCAGGAUGUUCUUCUGGACAGGGCCCUUCUCCCAGCCUGUUCACCCCUAGAACAGACACCAUCACAGGAAUCCUUCCUUCCUCUACCUACCUAUCUCCCAGAAGGACUGAUGCAUCCAACUUUUUCAGUUUUUUUAAUUUUAUUUGUAUUUUUGUUGGGGUUCUGUGUACGUUCUUGUUACUUUAUAGCAGUAAAUAAGUACAAGAAAACAUUGUUCAAUUUUGAAAUAAAAAUUACAAAUGCUUGUUGGUGAAACAUUACCCUUCAAACAUGAA